rnacentral:rRNA from 1 species
AUACGGAGGGUGCAAGCGUUGUUCGGAAUUACUGGGCGUAAAGCGCGCGUAGGCGGUCUGUUAUGUCAGAUGUGAAAGUCCUCGGCUUAACCGGAGAAGUGCAUUUGAAACUGGCAGACUUGAGUACUGGAGGGGGUGGUGGAAUUCCCGGUGUAGAGGUGAAAUUCGUAGAUAUCGGGAGGAAUACCGGUGGCGAAGGCGACCACCUGGCCAGAUACUGACGCUGAGGUGCGAAAGCGUGGGGAGCAAACAGGAUUAGAAACCCCAGUAGUCC